AGAUAAAAGGUGCCUGUACCGCAAACCGACACAGGUAGGCGAGGAGAGAAUCCUAAGGUGUGCGAGAGAACUCUGGUUAAGGAACUCGGCAAAAUGACCCCGUAACUUCGGGAGAAGGGGUGCUUUCUUAACGGAAAGCCGCAGUGAAUAGGCCCAAGCGACUGUUUAGCAAAAACACAGCUCUCUGCGAAGCCGUAAGGCGAAGUAUAGGGGGUGACACCUGCCCGGUGCUGGAAGGUUAAGGAGAGGGGUUAGCGUAAGCGAAGCUCUGAACUGAAGCCCCAGUAAACGGCGGCCGUAACUAUAACGGUCCUAAGGUAGCGAAAUUCCUUGUCGGGUAAGUUCCGACCCGCACGAAAGGUGUAACGAUUUGGGCACUGUCUCAACCAGAGACUCGGUGAAAUUAUAGUACCUGUGAAGAUGCAGGUUACCCGCGACAGGACGGAAAGACCCCGUGGAGCUUUACUGUAGCCUGAUAUUGAAUUUUGGUACAGUUUGUACAGGAUAGGCGGGAGCCAUUGAAACCGGAGCGCUAGCUUCGGUGGAGGCGCUGGUGGGAUACCGCCCUGACUGUAUUGAAAUUCUAACCUACGGGUCUUAUCGACCCGGGAGACAGUGUCAGGUGGGCAGUUUGACUGGGGCGGUCGCCUCCUAAAGUGUAACGGAGGCGCCCAAAGGUUCCCUCAGAAUGGUUGGAAAUCAUUCGUAGAGUGCAAAGGCAUAAGGGAGCUUGACUGCGAGACCUACAAGUCGAGCAGGGACGAAAGUCGGGCUUAGUGAUCCGGUGGUUCCGCAUGGAAGGGCCAUCGCUCAACGGAUAAAAGCUACCCCGGGGAUAACAGGCUUAUCUCCCCCAAGAGUCCACAUCGACGGGGAGGUUUGGCACCUCGAUGUCGGCUCAUCGCAUCCUGGGGCUGUAGUCGGUCCCAAGGGUUGGGCUGUUCGCCCAUUAAAGCGGUACGCGAGCUGGGUUCAGAACGUCGUGAGACAGUUCGGUCCCUAUCCGUCGUGGGCGUAGGAAAUUUGAGAGGAGCUGUCCUUAGUACGAGAGGACCGGGAUGGACGCACCGCUGGUGUACCAGUUGUUCUGCCAAGGGCAUAGCUGGGUAGCUAUGUGCGGAAGGGAUAAGUGCUGAAAGCAUCUAAGCAUGAAGCCCCCCUCAAGAUGAGAUUUCCCAUAGCGUAAGCUAGUAAGAUCCCUGAAAGAUGAUCAGGUUGAUAGGUUCGAGGUGGAAGCAUGGUGACAUGUGGAGCUGACGAAUACUAAUAGAUCGAGGACUUAACCAU
rnacentral:rRNA from 1 species